UACGUAUGGUGCAAGCGUUAUCCGGAUUUACUGGGUGUAAAGGGAGCGCAGGCGGUUCUGCAAGUCUGAUGUGAAAGCCCGGGGCUCAACCGCGGGACUGCAUUGGAAACUGCGGGACUGGAGUGUCGGAGAGGUAGGCGGAAUUCCUAGUGUAGCGGUGAAAUGCGUAGAUAUUAGGAGGAACACCAGUGGCGAAGGCGGCCUACUGGACGGUGACUGACGCUGAGGCUCGAAAGCGUGGGGAGCAAACAGG
rnacentral:rRNA from 1 species